UACAGAGGUCCCAAGCGUUGUUCGGAUUCAUUGGGCGUAAAGGGUGCGUAGGGGGCGCCGUAAGUCAGGUGUGAAAUCUCGGGGCUUAACUCCGAAACUGCAUUUGAUACUGCGGUGCUUGAGGACUGGAGAGGAGACUGGAAUUUACGGUGUAGCAGUGAAAUGCGUAGAGAUCGUAAGGAAGACCAGUGGCGAAGGCGGGUCUCUGGACAGUUCCUGACACUGAGGCACGAAGGCCAGGGGAGCAAACGGG
rnacentral:rRNA from 1 species